UAGAGUUGAUCCUGCGUCGGACUGAACGCUGGCGGUCUGCCUUAUNCGUGCUGUCGUACGAGACGUUUUAACUCAAGUAGCGGACGGGUGAGUAACGCGUAAGAAUUACCUUUAGGAGGGGGAUACGAGCGGAAACGGCUAGCUAAUACCCCAUAUAGCUUUCGAGUGAAAUGGGUUUCGCGCUAAAGAGAAGCUAGCGUCUGAUUAGCUUGUUGGUGAGGUAAAAGCUUACCAAGGCGACGAUCAGUAUCUGGUUUGAGAGGACGAUCAGACACACUGGAACUGAGACACGGUCCAGACUCCUACGGGAGGCAGCAGUAGGGAAUUUUCCGCAAUAGGGCGAAAGCCUAGACGGAGCAAUACCGCGUAGAGGGAUGACUGCCUAUGGGUUGUAAACCUCUUUUUUCAGGGAGGAAUAAAUAGACGUGUACCUGAAGAAUAAGCAUCGGCUAACUCCGUGCCAGCAGCCGCGGUAAGACGGAGGAUGCAAGUAUUAUCCGGAAUCACUGGGCGUAAAGCGUCUGUAGGUAGGCAAAUAAGUCAACUGUUAAAUCUUGAGGCUUAACCUCAAAAUCGCAGUCGAAAGUAUUAGGCUAGAGUAUAGUA
rnacentral:rRNA from 1 species